rnacentral:rRNA from 1 species
GAUGAACGCUGGCGGCGUGCCUAAUACAUGCAAGUCGAGCGAACAGACGCGGCGCUUGCUCCUCUGACGUUAGCGGCGGACGGGUGAGUAACACGUGGAUAACCUACCUAUCAGACUGGGAUCACUUCGGGACACCGGAGCUAAUACCGGAUAAUCUCUUGAACCGCAUGGUUCAAUAGUGAAAGACGGUUUUGCUGUCUCUUCUCGCUGGAUCUGGGCCGCAUUAGCUAGUUGGUAAGGUCACGGCCUACCAAGGCAACGAUGCGUAGCCGACCUGCGAGGGUGAUAGGCCGCACUGGAACUGGAACACGGACCAGGGUCCUACGGGAGGCAGCAGAAGGGAAACGUAGGCAAUGGGCGAAAGCCUGACGGAACGACGGCACGUGAGAGGUGAAGGUCUUCGGAGCGUAAAACUCUGUUACUAGGGAAGAACAAAUGUGGAAUGAACUAUGCACGGCGUGACGGUAACUAAUAAGAAAGCAACGGCUAACUACGUG